AGGGAAUCUUCGGCAAUGGACGAAAGUCUGACCGAGCAACGCCGCGUGAGUGAAGAAGGUUUUCGGAUCGUAAAACUCUGUUGGUAGAGAAGAACGUUGGUGAGAGUGGAAAGCUCAUCAAGUGACGGUAACUACCCAGAAAGGGACGGCUAACUACGUGCCAGCAGCCGCGGUAAUACGUAGGUCCCGAGCGUUGUCCGGAUUUAUUGGGCGUAAAGCGAGCGCAGGUGGUUUAUUAAGUCUGGUGUAAAAGGCAGUGGCUCAACCAUUGUAUGCAUUGGAAACUGGUAGACUUGAGUGCAGGAGAGGAGAGUGGAAUUCCAUGUGUAGCGGUGAAAUGCGUAGAUAUAUGGAGGAACACCGGUGGCGAAAGCGGCUCUCUGGCCUGUAACUGACACUGAGGCUCGAAGCGUGGGGAGCAAACAGGAUUAGAUACCCUGGUAGUCCACGCCGUAAACGAUGAGUGCUAGAUGUAGGGAGCUAUAAGUUCUCUGUAUCGCAGCUAACGCAAUAAGCACUCCGCCUGGGGGAGUACGACCGCAAGGUUGAAAC
rnacentral:rRNA from 1 species